UACGUAGGGGGCAAGCGUUGUCCGGAUUUACUGGGCGUAAAGAGCGCGCAGGCGGUCGUUCAAGUCGCGUGUGAAAGCCCCCGGCUCAACUGGGGAGGGUCACGCGAUACUGAUCGACUGGAAGGCAGGAGAGGGUAGUGGAAUUCCCGGUGUAGUGGUGAAAUGCGUAGAUAUCGGGAGGAACACCAGUGGCGAAGGCGACUACCUGGCCUGUUCUUGACGCUGAGGCGCGAGAGCUAGGGGAGCGAACAGG
rnacentral:rRNA from 1 species